UACAGAGGGUGCAAGCGUUAAUCGGAAUUAUUGGGCGUAAAGCGCGCGUAGGUGGUUUCAAAAGUCUGUUGUUAAAGCCCACAGCUCAACUGUGGAUCGGCAAUGGAAACUGUGAGACUAGAGAGUGGUAGGGGUAGAGGGAGUUCCUAGUGUAGCGGUGAAAUGCGUAGAUAUUAGGAAGAACACCAGUGGCGAAGGCGCUCUACUGGGCCAUUACUGACGCUGAUGGACGAAAGCUAGGGGAGCGAAAGGG
rnacentral:rRNA from 1 species